GGAAGGGGCUAACAGCGGGCCUGUUAGCUAAAGGAGCAAGAAGAAGCUGAGAAGAAAGAAGAAGCUGAUAAGGACCUCUCUCCAAGGCUGUAACCAAGGAGACCAAGAGAAUUGAGGGACUGAAGAAAGAUAAGAACUUCGCAGCUGCAUGAAGUAUAUUUAGAAAGUUAGUUAAGUCACUGUAACUUUUCACCAAUGGUGUUAUGUUGAUUUAUUGUAUCCAAUAGUUAGGGUAGAAGAAGCAUAAACAAUUAAAAAGUGUAUAAAAGGUCAGCCAUGUUCGAUAAUAAACUGUUGCCAUCUGAAACUGCUUGUGGUCCCUGCUUUGUGUCGUGACCGCCUCGACAACGACAUUUGGUGACCCCGACGUGAUACAAGACCCUUAACGAGAUACUCGGGAUCCUAGCAAUUGGCAACCGUGACCCACUGGGACGUAGUGGGGGAGGCGGCGUUGGUGUAGCUGAGAGUGGCCGGUGAAAGCCACAGGGAGGUCCGGACCUGAUUUUCUCCUAUCAAGACACCUGGAAUUAGUUUUUAAAGCAGCUCCUGGAACAAGGCAGGAUGACAGUCAUCAUGUCUUUGCCUAGAGUUGUACAAGAUCUCCAGUCGAAGGUAGCUCAAUAUAGUAUUAAUUCCUCUGAGGUAAUGUAAUUAAUACGUGUAAUCAAUAGAUACCUCUGUUGGUGUCCAAUUGUUUAUUUUGAGAGACCAUGAAAUACCAUGUGGAAUACUGUGUCAAUGGAGUGAUAAUUGGGAAGAUCAACUGCAUAUUUUGGAAUGGAUAUUUUUGUCUUUCAGAUCUCGGAAAACAGCUCCAGGACUUUAUGAGCUUUUUGCAGAUAUUAUCAUCAAGGGCCGCAGGCGUUGUCAUGAAAUUUUGGGACACGACCCUGUGACCAUUGUGAUACCUGUGCAACAGUGGUAUUUUGAAUGGUGCUUUCAAAAUAAUCAUGAAUUACAGUCUGCCUUAUCUUGUUUUACAGGCCAAAUAAAAUAUCAUUUACCUUCUCAUCCAAUUUUAAAACUGACCAAGGAGAUUCCUUUUGAAGGAAAACAAAUUUGUUCUCCUGUUCCAGUGGAAGGUGUAACGGUUUUUACAGAUGGGUCCGGGAAAACCGGAAAAGCAGCUGUAGCUUGGAAAAAGGAUGACCACUGGGAAUAUGAGACAAUGAUUCAGCAGGGAUCUCCUCAAUUGGUUGAACUCUGUGCUGUUCUUUUGGCUUUCACUUUAUUUCCUGAUUCUCUAAAUAUAGUCACUGAUUCUAUCUAUGUUGCCAAUUUGGUUAAGCAGUUAGAUCAAGCAGUGUUGUAUAAUAUCCAAGAGAAACCAUUGUUUACCAUGUUAGUGAAGUUAUGGACAGUCAUUGGUGCUCGAAAACAUCCUUACUUUAUCAUGCAUGUUCGCAGCCACACAUCGUUACCAGGAUUUUUUGUUGAAGGCAAUGCCUAUGUAGAUUCUCUAGUAGCUGCUGCUGCAAUCAAAACCAUACCUAAUGUGUUGCAGCAGGCAAUUUUGUCUCAUCAAUUUUUUCAUCAAAGUGCUCGAGCUUUACAGCAGCAAUUUAAAUUGUCUCCUGGUGAAGCGAGAUCAAUUCUUUCUUCCUGUCCUGACUGUCACAUGACUCAUGUCACUCAGUAUUAUGGUACCAACCCUAGGGGUCUUUCCGCUUUAGAGGAAUGGCAGACGGAUGUUACGAAAAUGCCAGAAUUUGGUCACUUUAAGUAUGUCCAUGUUACGGUUGAUACCUUUUCUCAUGCAAUGAUUGCUUCAGCAUUCACAGGAGAAAAAACUCGUGAUGCUAUUCGUCAUUUUUAUCACGCCUUUUCUGUUCUAGGUGUUCCAUGUCACAUAAAAACAGAUAAUGGCCCAGCAUAUGUUUCGCAGAAAAUGCAAGCAUUCUUUCGUGCUUGGGGCAUUGAACAUUCAACAGGUAUUCCACAUGUCCCCACAGGCCAAGCAAUUAUAGAAAGAGCUCACGGUCUUCUUAAACGUCAGGUUCAAAAACAAAAAGGGGGAAUGCAACAGGAAUCACCUCAAGUGAGAUUAGAUAAAGCUGUUUAUGUGUUAAACUUCUUGCGUCCCCUACCUGACUCACAGUUAUCUCCAAUUUUUUACCAUUUUUCUUCUUUGAAUGCUAAGCAACCAGAUCUUCGUAGAAAUGUUAAGGUAUGGGUCAAGGAUUUAAUUACUGGCAUGUGGUCUGGCCCAGUGGAAUUAAUAACCUGGGGAAGAGGUUAUGCUUGUGUUUUAACAGAUAAUGGUCCUCGAUGGGUUCCUGCUCGCUGUGUCAAACCUUAUCUGGAGCGAGCAGGCAGGGACAAGACGGAUGGCUCCGCAGCUGAAGCAGAACGUGCGGAUAACACUGGCUAAGGCUAUAUCUAGAUAUAUAAAUCAGGAUAUGUAUUUCAUUGCUCUUCAUGUGCUUUCAUAGUAAUUAAAGGGUGUAGUUUUGGUUUAGGCUGACCGAGACAAUGCAGGGUUUUGGAACCUUUGUUCUAGUAUUCCUGCAGCUCCUUUUGAGCACUUUGGGGUGGUUAUAGUUCACGGCUUUAUGGGAUAGUUAGGAAAUUUUAAAGCACCUAUAGAUGGAUGAAAGACAGGAAUGAUUGUAUUAAGAAUGGGAAUGUUGAUUUUGUUGAUGGUUGUGAUUGUUGUUUUGUGUUUCCCCUCUCUGCUUGGAUUUUUGCAAAGGGCCCUGCAAAAAUCCAUAGCAGCUGUGUUUAAAAACAAAAAGGGGGAAUUGUGGAAGGGGCUAACAGCGGGCCUGUUAGCUAAAGGAGCAAGAAGAAGCUGAGAAGAAAGAAGAAGCUGAUAAGGACCUCUCUCCAAGGCUGUAACCAAGGAGACCAAGAGAAUUGAGGGACUGAAGAAAGAUAAGAACUUCGCAGCUGCAUGAAGUAUAUUUAGAAAGUUAGUUAAGUCACUGUAACUUUUCACCAAUGGUGUUAUGUUGAUUUAUUGUAUCCAAUAGUUAGGGUAGAAGAAGCAUAAACAAUUAAAAAGUGUAUAAAAGGUCAGCCAUGUUCGAUAAUAAACUGUUGCCAUCUGAAA